UACGAAGGGGGCUAGCGUUGCUCGGAAUUACUGGGCGUAAAGCGCACGUAGGCGGCUUUCUAAGUCGGGGGUGAAAUCCUGGAGCUCAACUCCAGAACUGCCUUCGAUACUGGAAAGCUCGAGUCCGGGAGAGGUGAGUGGAACUGCGAGUGUAGAGGUGAAAUUCGUAGAUAUUCGCAAGAACACCAGCGGCGAAGGCGG
rnacentral:rRNA from 1 species